UGCUCUACCGUGCUGUACCCUCCAGCGGAUGCCGCCUUUCCUUUCCCAAUCUCUGGAAAAUCAAGUAAGACGGGAUUAGAAAAAAGAUGGGAUUUUUGAGGAAACCGCAGACCAUUUUCUAAUCUUUUCCUUCCAAUUUUGCUUCUAUGGGGAAAUCAAUCCCUUCGGCGGCGCUGCUCCAGGACUUCGCGAGGGUCGUCUCGUCGUCGGACAAACUCCGCCUGCCGAAACAAGCGAGACCCAUUUCAAGAAUCCGGGUUUCGACCCCAGAGACGUCGAGACCCGGCGGCGGCGGCGGCGGCGGCGGCGGGGUCCGAGCCGACGACCCGAGGAGGAUGGAGGGCCACGCGAAGAGCUUGGAGCCGGAGGGGAACAGUCGGGUGCCGCUGGGGCAGGUGGUGUCCGAUUGCGCCAGGAGGUGGUUUCAAGACACGCUGAAAGAGGCCAAGGCUGGGGAUGGUGCUAUGCAGGUCUUGCUUGGCCAGAUGUACAACUCCGGCUAUGGUGUGCCCAGAGACCCCCAAAAGGGUCGUGCUUGGAUUAAUAAAGCAUCAAAGGCUCGAUCUUCGGUUUGGAGAGUAAGCGAUAAGCAACCAGGUUACAAUGCAAGCGACUCUGAUUCUGGUGAGAUGGACAGCGAAAAAAACUAGAUUCAGGACCAAGUAUGCAAAGGACACAGGGACCGUUUGGUUGGGAAGUCAUGGUAGUUGUACAAGUCAAACAGACCAUAUCUCUUUUCCUACGAAAUUCUGCAGCUUCUUGUUUCCAAGCUGAAAAGGUCUCUUAUUCUCUCGGCUAAGGCUUAUAGACAAAAUUGAAACAGAAAAUUGAAUCACUAGUUAUCCAGAGCAUUUCUGUUUUGGAUGCAGUUUUGGAUGUAAUGCCUCCUCUUUUUUCUCUUCUUAGUUGCAUGGUGCAAGCAUCAGUCCAUUUCAUGGAAAAUCAAAUUCCUUUCUACCUCCUAUGAAGUGCGUCUGCUUUCUGUGGAUACAAGCAUCUGCUCGUGCUGCAUUGGCUAUGUGAUCAUUCCGUUGAUGUUUAACAAGGGCUGGCCAAUUGAAUAGAAUCAAUUGCACAAUGAUUUGUGCUUCCUCUUUAACGUGGUAUACUAAUGUAGCUGAGGAAGUACGUUUGCUGAGAGAAUGCUAUCCUCCAUCUUCAGUGUCAA